GAUGAACGCUGGCGGCGUGCCUAAUACAUGCAAGUCGAGCGAACAGACGAGGAGCUUGCUCCUCUGACGUUAGCGGCGGACGGGUGAGUAACACGUGGAUAACCUACCUAUAAGACUGGGAUAACUUCGGGAAACCGGAGCUAAUACCGGAUAAUAUAUUGAACCGCAUGGUUCAAUAGUGAAAGACGGUUUUGCUGUCACUUAUAGAUGGAUCCGCGCCGCAUUAGCUAGUUGGUAAGGUAACGGCUUACCAAGGCAACGAUGCGUAGCCGACCUGAGAGGGUGACCGCCCCAACGGGACCUGAGACCCGGUCCAGACUCUACCGGGAGCAAGAGUAAGGGAUUCUCCGGAAAUGGGGGAAGGCUUGCCGGGGCACGCCGGCGUAAGUAAUGAGGUUUUUCGGACGGUAAAACCCUUUUAUUAGGAAAGACCAAUUGUGAAAGUAACUAGGCACGUCUUGACGGUACCUAUCAGAAAGCCACGGCUAACUACG
rnacentral:rRNA from 1 species